UAACCGACAAGGAAAUUGCCAUGAUGCCAUCAGUCUAGUCAGCAGCACAGUAUUUUAUUAAGCAGAGAAGUAAUUUUGUUGAGCAAUAUUCAGAGAGGUUUUGUCAUGGAUAGCUGAGAACCUCUCUUGUGCUGUAAUUAGCCAUAGAUUUCCAGACUUUUUAGAAGACAAAAGGAUGAGCGUGUCUUCGGUGGGCUAAUGCCAAAUCACAAUGAUCAGAUAGUUUUAUAGUGGACCUGAUGCCCAAGCUUUCUGACAUGGGGACUUCUCAGAAUGUUGGUUCUCUGCCUACACAGACACAAUUUCCAAAAGCUGGAGCUGACAGAAGCAGCCUGGGAGGUUUCAACCCAAAGAUGUUGCACUGGAAAACAGCCAGCUCCAGAUUUCCAAACAGCUCUCUUCUGGAUUACUAAUCUACAAGGCCUUCAACUAUUGGUUUUGAACAGCUCAUCUUCCAGCCUCAAUGCUUGAUCAUCCUAGAAUGCUUAAAUACCUCCCGAGCAGGAAACACCUUCAUGUUAAUUAUAUUAAAAGUCUGAGCUGGAGCCUGCCAAGCAGUUCUGAACGCAGUAAACCAGACACAGACUUUGGGAUGAGUAAAAACAAU
rnacentral:lncRNA from 12 species